CCCCUAGAUGUUCUGGGCCGCACGCGCGCUACACUGAACAGUUCAACAAGUCUUAACCUUGGCCGAUAGGUCUGGGUAAUCUUUGAACGUGAAUCGUGAUGGGGAUAGAUGAUUGCAAUUAUUCAUCUUCAACGAGGAAUUCCUAGUAAACGCAAGUCAUCAGCUUGCAUUGAUUACGUCCCUGCCCUUUGUACACACCGCCCGUCGCACCUACCGAUUGAAUGGUCCGGUGAAAUCUUCGGAUCUGAGAGAUGUCUGAUUAAUUUCGGACGCCUUUUGGAAAAGUUGCUUAAACCUUACCAUUUAGAGGAAGGUGAAGUCGUANCA
rnacentral:rRNA from 1 species